rfam:Selaginella moellendorffii unplaced genomic scaffold SELMOscaffold_54, whole genome shotgun sequence.
GGGUCUUGGGAUAUUUUGGAGUUAAGCGUCCUUGGGUUUGAAUAGUACUGGGCUGGGUGACCUCCCGGGAAGUCCAAAUUCAGGAGUUU